AAAUUGAAGAGUUUGAUCAUGGCUCAGAUUGAACGCUGGCGGCAGGCCUAACACAUGCAAGUCGAACGGUAACAGGAAGCAGCUUGCUGCUUUGCUGACGAGUGGCGGACGGGUGAGUAAUGUCUGGGAAACUGCCUGAUGGAGGGGGAUAACUACUGGAAACGGUGGCUAAUACCGCAUAAUGUCGCAAGACCAAAGAGGGGGACCUUCGGGC
rnacentral:rRNA from 2 species